rnacentral:rRNA from 1 species
GGGGGCCCGCACAAGCAGCGGAGCGUGUGGUUUAAUUCGAUGCAACGCGAAGAACCUUACCUGGGCUUGACAUGUACGUAGUAGUGAAGGGAAACCGGAACGAGCCUUCGGGCAGCGUAGACAGGUGCUGCAUGGCUGUCGUCAGCUCGUGUCGUGAGAUGUUGGGUUAAGUCCCGCAACGAGCGCAACCCGUGUUGCUAGUUACAAGUGUCUAGCGAGACUGCCGGUAACAAGCCGGAGGAAGGUGCGGAUGAUGUCAAGUCAGCAUGGCCUAUAUGUCCAGGGCUACACACACGCUACAAUGGCUGGUACAAAGAGAAGCGAAAGGGAGACCUGAAGCGAAUCUCAUCAAAGCCAGUCAUAGUUCGGAUUGCAGGCUGCAACUCGCCUGCAUGAAGUCGGAGUUGCUAGUAACCGCAGGUCAGCAAUACUGCGGUGAAUACGUUCCCGGGCCUUGUACACAC